GGGUGAGGAGGGACGGUCUGAAGACGAACACGCCUGAGUUGAAGCAGUCGGGCCAGCCGGGAUCAGGAGCUGCCGACAGCUCGUCUCUCUCGAAGAGCUCGUCCACGUUACUCAGCACCUGAGUGGGAAAAGUUGGUCAGAGCUAUAUCUCCAUAACCUCCUUUGAAGUGGCACGAGGACCCCACAUUUUCAUCCACAACAAAUACUUGGACUCUUUCAAUCAACAUAGCAGAUUAACGGGGAACAUGUUUGCACUGACAACAAAGGAAGAGAAAUGACAGCAGUAGUGGGUUCUGAAAUAUGUCCUCUAGCAUCUAUGUUGGUGUCAAUCUCAAUAAUAACACGUGACAACACUGAACCAUACAAAGACGUUGACCAACAGGUCAAACAGGAGUAGAUGAACCCUAAAAAAGGCCGGCACAGUAUGUUGACUUUCUAAAAGAUAAUGAUCUCCAGUUUGACCAGUGAGCCAGCAUGGAGGUGAUAUGUGCAAUAUCUGCUUUAUCUGUAUGUUUUUUCAAGGAACGUUGCCUUUGAAGAGGGAUCAAAGCUGCUAUGUAGUUUGAACCGUGGAAUCCACUCUCUUGAAGGCAAGACACUUAAAUGUUUUAUUGUUGUUUUGGUUUUGGUUCUACUCUUAAUACAGCAAAUUCCAGAAAACAUUCUUUCACCCCACUUUGACAAGGCAUUUUUUAUAAAGGGGUUGCAAUGGGUUUAUUAGUCUUUCAUAAAUCUUCAUUUACCAUUUCAUUGAAGAAUUCUGGAUUUGGCUCAGCUGGAUGGCUACUGCAGAUUUAGCACAUGGUUAUAAAAUGAAAUAUGAGCACCAGAACAUUCUCAGUUUUAGACAGUGUGAGCUGUUUCAAUCUUCAUGACUGCAUCGUGGAUCCACAAGAAAAAGAAUUGGCAAAGGAAUUUUAAAAAACCUGAUUGUGAGACUUCAUAAACAUAGAAAAGGAUUUAAGAAGAUCAGUGACCAGCUAAAAAUCAGCUGAAACACAGUUAAAAUGAAGUCCGAAGGUAUAGAACAAGCCAUAGUACCACUAAUCAGAGUUACAUUGGCUUUAUGCCUAGAAUGAUGCCAUGGAUAGUAAACUACUUGCACAAUCCAGCUUCGAAAAACAGACGGGCACGUGGGUUAUCAAUGGAAGUCAGUAUAUCUCUGACAGCUCAGACAGCGCUAAGGAUAUUGCAUCAUGUCACCCUCUAUUGACAGUGUCCAGGAAAAAAAAACCUUGCUUCCUCUUCGGCACAAAAUUGCAAGAUGAAAAGCCCGAUGAAAAUUGGGAGCACAUUCUUUGGUCAGAUGAAUGUAUCGUCCCAACAGUGACGCACGAAAGUGGGAGUAUGAUGAUAUCAACAAGCUGUAAGGGAGACAAUAUCAUCAGCAUCAUAAAUGCCUGUGGAUAUACCAAAAUAGUGACUGACAAAGUGGGCCUCUAAAAGCACUGAAAAGUUAUCAUGGUCAUAAUAGUAAUCAAUGCAUAUAUUUAUGCUAUUUAUCUCUCAUUGCCUGCAUAUCCACAUCACCAUCAGGGGCUUUUUUUUAGGUCUACACAUACUGACCCAGAGCAAACAUCACUCUAACCUUUGUACAAUGGUAUGCUAAAAUAAAUAAGUAAAUAAAUAAAAAGGUAGCAAAUUCUGUUGGAGGCCAAAGUCGGCCACCCAUAUACAACCUGUCUGGCUCCACCCAAGUCUAGGGUUAGCAUCAAAACUUAGACACAGAGUAAAAGAUUUGAAAGUUAAAAAAACAGACUGCACUAGUUUUAACCAAAGGGGGCUUUCGGAAGCUCUUCUGCCAUCAGAAUAAUCUAAAAUUAUCACACAGGAAUUCUGCAUCAUGCAGCUAAGAUGGACUCACAAGUGUGUCAGCGUCCAGGAAGA